AAUAGCUCAAAUUUGAAAGCUGGCGUCUUCGACGUCCGCGUUGUAAUUUGUAGAGGAUGUUUCGGCGAGGGCUCCUGCCUAAGUUCCCUGGAAUGGGACGUCACAGAGGGUGAGAAUCCCGUAUGUGGCGGGCGGCCUUAGCCAUGUGAAACUCCUUCGACGAGUCGAGUUGUUUGGGAAUGCAGCUCUAAAUGGGAGGUAAAUUUCUUCUAAAGCUAAAUACCGGCCAGAGACCGAUAGCGCACAAGUAGAGUGAUCGAAAGAUGAAAAGCACUUUGGAAAGAGAGUUAAAAAGUACGUGAAAUUGUUGAAAGGGAAGCGCUUGCAACCAGACUCGUUCGCAGUUGCUCAGCCCGCCUCUUGGUGGGUGUACUCUUCUGCGGUCGGGCCAGCAUCAGUUCGGGCGGUCGGAUAAAGGUGUCGGGAAUGUAGCACCCUUCGGGGUGUGUUAUAGCCCGGCGCGGAAUGCGGCCAGCCUGGACUGAGGAUCUCGCUUCGGCAAGGAUGCUGGCGUAAUGGUUGUAAGCGGCCCGUCUUGAAACACGGACCAAGGAGUCUAACAUCUAUGCGAGUGUUUGGGUGUCAAACCCAUGCGCGUAAUGAAAGUGAACGGAGGUGGGAACCCGCAAGGGUGCACCAUCGACCGAUCCUGAUGUCUUCGGAUGGAUUUGAGUAAGAGCAUAGCUGUUGGGACCCGAAAGAUGGUGAACUAUGCCUGAAUAGGGUGAAGCCAGAGGAAACUCUGGUGGAGGCUCGCAGCGGUUCUGACGUGCAAAUCGAUCGUCAAAUUUGGGUAUAGGGGCGAAAGACUAAUCG
rnacentral:rRNA from 1 species